GAAACUGCCUGAUGGAGGGGGAUAACUACUGGAAACGGUAGCUAAUACCGCAUAACGUCGCAAGACCAAAGAGGGGGACCUUCGGGCCUCUUGCCAUCAGAUGUGCCCAGAUGGGAUUAGCUAGUAGGUGGGGUAACGGCUCACCUAGGCGACGAUCCCUAGCUGGUCUGAGAGGAUGACCAGCCACACUGGAACUGAGACACGGUCCAGACUCCUACGGGAGGCAGCAGUGGGGAAUAUUGCACAAUGGGCGCAAGCCUGAUGCAGCCAUGCCGCGUGUAUGAAGAAGGCCUUCGGGUUGUAAAGUACUUUCAGCGGGGAGGAAGGGAGUAAAGUUAAUACCUUUGCUCAUUGACGUUACCCGCAGAAGAAGCACCGGCUAACUCCGUGCCAGCAGCCGCGGUAAUACGGAGGGUGCAAGCGUUAAUCGGAAUUACUGGGCGUAAAGCGCACGCAGGCGGUUUGUUAAGUCAGAUGUGAAAUCCCCGGGCUCAACCUGGGAACUGCAUCUGAUACUGGCAAGCUUGAGUCUCGUAGAGGGGGGUAGAAUUCCAGGUGUAGCGGUGAAAUGCGUAGAGAUCUG
rnacentral:rRNA from 1 species